UACGUAGGGGGCUAGCGUUGUCCGGAUUUAUUGGGCGUAAAGAGCGUGUAGGCGGCCAGGUAGGUCUGCUGUGAAAACUCGAGGCUCAACCUCGAGAUGUCGGCGGAAACCAUCUGGCUAGAGUCCGGAAGAGGAAAGUGGAAUUCCUGGUGUAGCGGUGAAAUGCGCAGAUAUCAGGAAGAACACCCGUGGCGAAGGCGGCUUUCUGGGGCGGAACUGACGCUAAGGCGCGAAAGCGUGGGGAGCGAACAGG
rnacentral:rRNA from 1 species